rnacentral:rRNA from 1 species
GACGAACGCUGGCGGCGUGCCUAAUACAUGCAAGUAGAACGCUGAAGGAGGAGCUUGCUUCUCUGGAUGAGUUGCGAACGGGUGAGUAACGCGUAGGUAACCUGCCUGGUAGCGGGGGAUAACUAUUGGAAACGAUAGCUAAUACCGCAUAAUAGUAGAUGUUGCAUGACAUUUGCUUAAAAGGUGCAAUUGCAUCACUACCAGAUGGACCUGCGUUGUAUUAGCUAGUUGGUGAGGUAACGGCUCACCAAGGCGACGAUACAUAGCCGACCUGAGAGGGUGAUCGGCCACACUGGGACUGAGACACGGCCCAGACUCCUACGGGAGGCAGCAGUAGGGAAUCUUCGGCAAUGGACGGAAGUCUGACCGAGCAACGCCGCGUGAGUGAAGAAGGUUUUCGGAUCGUAAAGCUCUGUUGUAAGGGAAGAACGAGUGUGAGAGUGGAAAGUUCACACUGUGACGGUAUCUUACCAGAAAGGAACGGCUAACUACGU